rnacentral:lncRNA from 1 species
GGCCAGACUCCUCAGCCUGAAAUCCUGCUUCCACUAAGUACCAGCUGGGUAACUUCAGUUUCAGGCCCUGGAGGUCCAUGCUUCUGCCCAAGCUGUGUCUCAUCUCUGCAGGUGGAGCCCAGUUGACAGGAAAUGUUUCUCCAGAAGCUGAAAAGCUGCCUGGUAAAGGCCUUUCAUAAAAUGGUCUGCGUUUGGGACCAGGAAGACAGAAGACUCCUCAAGAAGAGAACUGGAACCUUAACCCACUUCAGACUUCUUCAUGUCUGAAGCUUAUUUCCACCAUCCCAUUGAGAACCAAAGAAGCGAGCUCCUUGGAGAAUCGGCUCCCACCUGGACCUUCUGUUUAUCCUUCCAAUAGCUGCUGCAUUCAUCCUUCCCAGCUAAUGACACUUCCAGCCUUUCGUGUUUCAAAGUAUCACGGACUUUGCAAAAGAUUCCAGGUUUCUAUGGAGCAGAUAGUACUUUUAACAAUCAACAUGUGCAUUAUUAUUUCCUCCUAAGGCAUACUUAGACAUCAAUGCAUGCUACAGCAAGGCAACUUAUCUCACCCUCACCAAGGUAUGAACUUCAGAAUUUGAACUUGUUCCUUUGGGGUAAGUUGUAUCACCAGCACUCACUAACAGACUGUAUUUUCCAGUGAGGUUUCAUUCUGUUUCAGAUAUUCUGCACUUUCAGUGGCAAAAUUUUAAAGAAAAGGAGACAAAAUGGAACACAAAUUCAAUAUGACUAUUGUCAUCCUUCCCUCCCAGGAAGUGUAGGAAUCAUCCAAAGUGGUAAAAGAGCAGCGCUUCUAAACUCUGACUUCACAUGGAAAAUAACGCGACUACUAAAACUGAUAACAAUAGCAGUCCAUGCCAUUUGACAGG